rnacentral:rRNA from 1 species
UACGGAGGGGGCUAGCGUUGUUCGGAUUCAUUGGGCGUAAAGGGUGCGUAGGCGGCGCGGUAAGUCGGGUGUGAAAUCUCGGAGCUUAACUCCGAAACUGCAUUCGAUACUGCCGUGCUUGAGGACUGGAGAGGAGACUGGAAUUCAUGGUGUAGCAGUGAAAUGCGUAGAGAUCAUGAGGAAGACCAGUGGCGAAGGCGGGUCUCUGGACAGUUCCUGACACUGAGACACGGAAGGCCCAGGGGAGCAAAACGGG